GAUUUUAAUAAAAAAUAAUUAGAUUAAAAGGUAAAAAUUCUUAUGAGAUAAGGACUAGCCCUUUUAGGUUGAUUGGUUCUUGAUUUGGAAUCAAGAAAGAGUCUAUAUAAAGAGAUAGUCUCUUAGGAUUUAAAUGAGUUAUUUUCAUUCAUUAAAAAUUAGAUCUCUCCCUCUCCAUGCCUCACCCUCUCUCCCUCUUCUCCUUCCCAUGCCCAAGGGUUAGCAUCCAUCAUCCACACGUCUGAGUUGAGAAGGAUCUCUUCUACAGUAAGGAAUGAAG
rnacentral:lncRNA from 1 species